rnacentral:rRNA from 1 species
CACGUAGGGUGCGAGCGUUGUCCGGAAUUAUUGGGCGUAAAGAGCUCGUAGGCGGUGUGUCGCGUCGGCCGUGAAAACCUGCAGCUUAACUGUGGGCUUGCGGUCGAUACGGGCAGGCUAGAGUUCGGUAGGGGAGACUGGAAUUCCUGGUGUAGCGGUGAAAUGCGCAGAUAUCAGGAGGAACACCGGUGGCGAAGGCGGGUCUCUGGGCCGAUACGGACGCUGAGGAGCGAAAGCGUGGGGAGCGAACAGG